rnacentral:rRNA from 1 species
CACCCAACAGCUAGCCUGCCCCCCCCCCAAAAUCAACAAAACAACGUUAAUAAACCCAAAUACACAAAAUGCUAUAAACAAACCAUUUUUCCUCCUUAGUAUGGGCGACAGAAAAGGACCUCAGCGCCAUAGAAAAAGUACCGCAAGGGAAAGCUGAAAAAGUAAUGAAAAAGCUCAGUAAAGUUAAAUAAAGCAGAGAUUAACCCUUGUACCUUUUGCAUCAUGAACUAGCUAGUAAACCCUAAGCAAAGUGAACUUUAGUUUAAGCCCCCGAAACUAAGUGAGCUACUCCAAGGCAGCCUAUCAUAGGGCACACCCGUCUCUGUGGCAAAAGAGUGGGAAGAACUUCGAGUAGAGGCGAUAAACCUACCGAACUUAGUUAUAGCUGGUUGCCUAAGAAAUGAAUAGAAGUUCAGCCUUUUGAUUUCUUUAGCCCAACCUGGCACUCUCCCCCUCUCCCGACAACAAGAACAAUCAAAAGAGUUAGUCAAAAGGGGUACAGCCCUUCUGAAAAAGAUACAACUUUUAUAUGAAGGUAAAAGAUCAAAAAUGAAAUAAGGUACUAUAUUUUAGUGGGCCUAAAAGCAGCCAUCUACCUAGAAAGCGUUAAAGCUCAAAUAUCGCCACCCCCCCCCCCCCCCAAUACCGAUAAAGCUAUCUUAACCCUCCAAGCCUAUUAGGCCCUUCUAUGCAGACAUAGAAAAGACCAUGCUAGUAUGAGUAAUAAGGAGCGUCCGCCCUCCUCCUCACACCCCUGUACAUCAGAACGAACCCCCACUGAAAAUUAACGCCCCCAACCACAGAGGGAAUUGAACAAAAACUAAUACACCAGAAAACCCCCCAACAUAACAAGCGUUAACCCCACACAGGAGUGUGCCCGGAAAGGCUAAAAGAAAAAGAAGGAACUCGGCAAACACUAGCCUCGCCUGUUUACCAAAAACAUCGCCUCUUGAGUCUAAUAUAUAAGAGGUCCCGCCUGCCCUGUGACUAUAAGUUUAACGGCCGCGGUAUUUUGACCGUGCGAAGGUAGCGCAAUCACUUGUCUUUUAAAUGAAGACCGGUAUGAAUGGCAUUACGAGGGCUAAACUGUCUCUUUUUUCCAGCCAAUGAAAUUGAUCUGUCCGUGCAGAAGCGGACAUAAAAACAUAAGACGAGAAGACCCUAUGGAGCUUCAGACACCAGAGCAGCCUAUGUUAAGCAACCUCAACAAAGAGAUUAAACCAAGCAGACCCUGCUCCCCUGUCUUUGGUUGGGGCGACCGCGGGGCAAUAAGUAACCCCCACGUGGAAAAAGGAUACCUCCUUUAAAAUAAGGGCCACAGCCCUAAUAAACAGAACAUCUGACCAACAAGAUCCGGCACGCCGAUCAACGAACCCAGUUACCCUAGGGAUAACAGCGCAAUCCUCUUUUAGAGCCCAUAUCGACAAGAGGGUUUACGACCUCGAUGUUGGAUCAGGACAUCCUAAUGGUGCAGCCGCUAUUAAGGGCUC